rnacentral:rRNA from 1 species
CAGUGUGUGUGUUAGUGGAAGCGUCUGGAAAGGCGUGCGAUACAGGGUGACAGCCCCGUACACAAAAAUGCACAUAUUGUGAGCUCGAUGAGUAGGGCGGGACACGUGGUAUCCUGUCUGAAUAUGGGGGGACCAUCCUCCAAGGCUAAAUACUCCUGACUGACCGAUAGUGAACCAGUACCGUGAGGGAAAGGCGAAAAGAACCCCGGCGAGGGGAGUGAAAAAGAACCUGAAACCGUGUACGUACAAGCAGUGGGAGCCUCUUAAUGGGGUGACUGCGUACCUUUUGUAUAAUGGGUCAGCGACUUAUAUUCUGUAGCAAGGUUAACCGAAUAGGGGAGCCGAAGGGAAACCGAGUCUUAACUGGGCGUUAAGUUGCAGGGUAUAGACCCGAAACCCGGUGAUCUAGCCAUGGGCAGGUUGAAGGUUGGGUAACACUAACUGGAGGACCGAACCGACUAAUGUUGAAAAAUUAGCGGAUGACUUGUGGCUGGGGGUGAAAGGCCAAUCAAACCGGGAGAUAGCUGGUUCUCCCCGAAAGCUAUUUAGGUAGCGCCUCGUGAAUUCAUCUCCGGGGGUAGAGCACUGUUUCGGCAAGGGGGUCAUCCCGACUUACCAACCCGAUGCAAACUGCGAAUACCGGAGAAUGUUAUCACGGGAGACACACGGCGGGUGCUAACGUCCGUCGUGAAGAGGGAAACAACCCAGACCGCCAGCUAAGGUCCCAAAGUCAUGGUUAAGUGGGAAACGAUGUGGGAAGGCCCAGACAGCCAGGAUGUUGGCUUAGAAGCAGCCAUCAUUUAAAGAAAGCGUAAUAGCUCACUGGUCGAGUCGGCCUGCGCGGAAGAUGUAACGGGGCUAAACCAUGCACCGAAGCUGCGGCAGCGACACUAUGUGUUGUUGGGUAGGGGAGCGUUCUGUAAGCCUGUGAAGGUGGCCUGUGAGGGUUGCUGGAGGUAUCAGAAGUGCGAAUGCUGACAUAAGUAACGAUAAAGCGGGUGAAAAGCCCGCUCGCCGGAAGACCAAGGGUUCCUGUCCAACGUUAAUCGGGGCAGGGUGAGUCGACCCCUAAGGCGAGGCCGAAAGGCGUAGUCGAUGGGAAACAGGUUAAUAUUCCUGUACUUGGUGUUACUGCGAAGGGGGGACGGAGAAGGCUAUGUUGGCCGGGCGACGGUUGUCCCGGUUUAAGCGUGUAGGCUGGUUUUCCAGGCAAAUCCGGAAAACCAAGGCUGAGGCGUGAUGA